rnacentral:rRNA from 1 species
ACAAUGAAGAGUUUGAUCCUGGCUCAGGAUGAACGCUAGCUACAGGCUUAACACAUGCAAGUCGAGGGGCAGCAUUUUAGUUUGCUUGCAAACUAAAGAUGGCGACCGGCGCACGGGUGAGUAACACGUAUCCAACCUGCCGAUAACUCGGGGAUAGCCUUUCGAAAGAAAGAUUAAUAUCCGAUAGUAUAUUAAAACCGCAUGGUUUUACUAUUAAAGAAUUUCGGUUAUCGAUGGGGAUGCGUUCCAUUAGUUUGUUGGCGGGGUAACGGCCCACCAAGACUACGAUGGAUAGGGGUUCUGAGAGGAAGGUCCCCCACAUUGGAACUGAGACACGGUCCAAACUCCUACGGGAGGCAGCAGUGAGGAAUAUUGGUCAAUGGACGAGAGUCUGAACCAGCCAAGUAGCGUGAAGGAUGACUGCCCUAUGGGUUGUAAACUUCUUUUAUAUGGGAAUAAAGUAUUCCACGUGUGGAAUUUUGUAUGUACCAUAUGAAUAAGGAUCGGCUAACUCCGUGCCAGCAGCCGCGGUAAUACGGAGGAUCCGAGCGUUAUCCGGAUUUAUUGGGUUUAAAGGGAGCGUAGGUGGAUUGUUAAGUCAGUUGUGAAAGUUUGCGGCUCAACCGUAAAAUUGCAGUUGAAACUGGCAGUCUUGAGUACAGUAGAGGUGGGCGGAAUUCGUGGUGUAGCGGUGAAAUGCUUAGAUAUCACGAAGAACUCCGAUUGCGAAGGCAGCUCACUAGACUGCAACUGACACUGAUGCUCGAAAGUGUGGGUAUCAAACAGGAUUAGAUACCCUGGUAGUCCACACAGUAAACGAUGAAUACUCGCUGUUUGCGAUAUACAGUAAGCGGCCAAGCGAAAGCAUUAAGUAUUCCACCUGGGGAGUACGCCGGCAACGGUGAAACUCAAAGGAAUUGACGGGGGCCCGCACAAGCGGAGGAACAUGUGGUUUAAUUCGAUGAUACGCGAGGAACCUUACCCGGGCUUAAAUUGCAUUUGAAUAAUCUGGAAACAGGUUAGCCGCAAGGCAAAUGUGAAGGUGCUGCAUGGUUGUCGUCAGCUCGUGCCGUGAGGUGUCGGCUUAAGUGCCAUAACGAGCGCAACCCUUAUCUUUAGUUACUAACAGGUCAUGCUGAGGACUCUAGAGAGACUGCCGUCGUAAGAUGUGAGGAAGGUGGGGAUGACGUCAAAUCAGCACGGCCCUUACGUCCGGGGCUACACACGUGUUACAAUGGGGGGUACAGAAGGCAGCUACCUGGCGACAGGAUGCUAAUCCCAAAAACCUCUCUCAGUUCGGAUCGAAGUCUGCAACCCGACUUCGUGAAGCUGGAUUCGCUAGUAAUCGCGCAUCAGCCAUGGCGCGGUGAAUACGUUCCCGGGCCUUGUACACACCGCCCGUCAAGCCAUGAAAGCCGGGGGUACCUGAAGUACGUAACCGCAAGGAGCGUCCUAGGGUAAAACUGGUAAUUGGGGCUAAGUCGUAACAAGGUAGCCGUACCGGAAGGUGCGGCUGGAACACCUCCUUU